GGCCCCAGGAACAGGGGCUUUAUCUGUUCCCAUGGGCCCCUCACCCCAGACGAGGAGGAGCUACAGAUGCUGUUCUUCUCUGAGACUCUGGCCAUGGUCUCAGACACCGGGGAGCCUCAGGGAGAGCUGACCAUUGAGGUGCAGAGAGGGAAAUACCAGGAAAAACUCGGCGUGCUGACAUACUGCCUCUUCGUGCAUGCCUCUAGCCGAGGCUUCUUGGACAAAAUGCUCUGCGGAAAUUCCCUCCUGGGUAGCGUUCCUGCUGCCUGAUGCCCGUCACCCUCCCCUUCCUCCACCCCUCCCCUCCACCAUUCCUAGAAUCUUUUUUCAGGACCAAGCCCUUGGCUUUGCCUUGGACCAGGACAAGGCACAGGGUGGGGGAGGGACGAGCGAGUUCCUCAUGGACUCAGGAUGAGGGCACCUCUUACCCAUCCUGUAGUUUUUCUAGGACCGUAUUACACCUAGUCCUCCAGCCUGCGCCACCACCUUCCCUUCCUUCAGCCUCUGACCCACAUCUCCUGUGAUGUUAAUGCCUGUGUUCCUGCACCCCAGGCUACCUCUCAGAGAAGCUGGAGCUCAUGGAACAGCACAGCCAAGACUUCAUCAAGUUCCUCAUCCUCCCCAUGGAACGGAAGACGAGUUUGCUGAAGCAGGAUGAUCAGCUGG
rnacentral:sRNA from 1 species